GCCUGGGUGGCUCAGUCAGUUGAGCGUCUGACUUCAGCUCAGGUCAUGAUCUCAUGUGUCAUGGGUUUGAGCCCCGCGUCGGGCU
rnacentral:tRNA from 1 species